CAGCAGCCGCGGGAAUACGUAGGGUGCAAGCGUUAAUCGGAAUUACUGGGCGUAAAGCGUGCGCAGGCGGUUUUGUAAGACAGAGGUGAAAUCCCCGGGCUCAACCUGGGAACUGCCUUUGUGACUGCAAGGCUGGAGUGCGGCAGAGGGGGAUGGAAUUCCGCGUGUAGCAGUGAAAUGCGUAGAUAUGCGGAGGAACACCGAUGGCGAAGGCAAUCCCCUGGGCCUGCACUGACGCUCAUGCACGAAAGCGUGGGGAGCAAACAGGAUUAGAUACCCCCGUAGUCCCUGUCUCUUAUAC
rnacentral:rRNA from 1 species